rnacentral:lncRNA from 10 species
CCUCCCCGACACCCCUCCCCCGCUCCGGUACUACCCCCCUUUGCUGCCCAGCCUCCAAGCCGGGGUCCUCCAGCUCCAGGCCCCCUCCUCCGGCCCCGCAACGGAAGUGUUGGGCACAAUGUCGGUGCCAAAUCUUCGCCUCUCCCUCCCUUGGACUCUGGAGUCUCCUCUCCCGCCCCAGGGACAGAUCCAGGGGCCACAGCCUUCCCAGAGCCAUGGAGUGAAUGCCCAAGAACCGAAGACCUACACCCCAAACCACCCCACGGGCGUGCGGAGCACCCCCUCCGGUCUCGCCCGGGGAAGAGGGGUGUCGAGGACUCGGGAAACACAGUGCCCACGCCCAGAGGCUGCAGGAACUGCGUGCUAGGGGCUUGGAGGGAGGGCGGGGCACCCGAGAGCCAGGGCUCCUUCGACCACGGCGGAGACAUGGAGGAGCCUCCAGAUGGCCUAGGAAAACACGGCCCUCGAGGCCCGCCCGACCCUAGCGUGAGAAACUGGGUCCCCACUUUGGUCACAGGGGCUAGACAGUGCCUCUGGGGUAGGGUGCAGGGUGAGGAGAGAAGGAGGACAAGAGUCUUGCACUCGCCUGACCCGAGCUCUGUCCGGGCCUCCGCCUUGUGGGUGCACUGCGGAUGCCCUCUCGCCGCGAGAAUGGGCGGCUUUUGGCAAUAACGCCUCUUAGGGGAGUUAUUAGAGCUGAGCGUGCCUGGUGUCCCUCAAGGCCAGGUUGGGCGACUCUCGCAGAGGCCCCUCGACAGAUGUCAGUCAGAGGCUAGGACUCUGCCACAUCUUUAAGGACUUGGACACCUCUGGGCACCGGGCUAAGACGGCGUCCCAAAGUUAGGUGGCCCGUCGCAGGCAGCCCCUAGUAGUCUGGCCUCCUCGCCCGCACAACCCUUCACCCACAGGCCAGGUGCAAUCCCGAUGCAGGCUCCUGGCCCGACCCUCUACGCGCUCAGGCGGACAGCUAAGGUCUGGCUGAGUCUCCGGCAGGGGCGUUUGGAAUGUGACCGGUCACCCACUCUCGGCCCUGCAUUUGCUUGUGCAUGCAAGUCCACAGGUGUAGAGGCACCCGAACCGUGUGCAUCCUCCCGGCCACAGCACCCUAGGCACGCACACGCAUGCACAUGCACGUGUGCACACGGCGCGGCAUGCUCACGCGCUCUCACGGGCGGACUGGUAUCCAGGCGUGGCCGUGCGCACACACACGCACAUGCAUACAGCUACUAGCGUCUACUCGCGCUCCCCCGUAGGCACACACAAACAGAACUCGCACUCGCGCUCCCGCCCACACGUUCCUCGCAGGGUGCCGGGUGGAAUCCGGGCUCCCUCAACUUUCCCACCCGAGAACCCCGCGCGGAGCCGAGGGCAGCUCUGGGGCGGCGUCCGACGGGGCCUGGCGAGGGGACCCCGCGUCACUUCCCCGGGAGGCUGUGCCUGAGGGCUCCUCUGGGUUCGCAGUCGCAUUGGAGUUGGGGGCGGUGGCCAACGGCGGCCGCACGGUCUAGGUCCGGAGCGGGCACCAGGGACCGACAUUGCCAUCUAGCGGUGCGCACAGCCCCGGCGGCGGCGGCUCGCUCCCCAGAUGCCAGGCGUAUCUGGAUUCCAGGGAAGGCGCCAGAGGGGGUCGGAAUGUCUGCGGGUGACCCCGAGGUGUCCAAAACGACGACAGCUGGGGCGGGGCGGAGUCGGGGAGACCCUGAGCCUCGCCCUGUCAGCACCUGGCAGCUCCCUCACGCGGGCCAAGAGCAGGACUUAAUCACCGGCCAUCCAGUGGUCCCGGCUCAGCCCAGCCGCCAGGAUCUGGGAGAAGACAAGACAUCGCUUGUCUUCUGGGAAAGCUAAGUCGAGAAGCCAGCAGGAAUGUGAGGGGACCCUACCCAAGCCUCACCUGGACAGUCCCUCAGUUGUGUGGUUUUCGGGUCGAGGGGAGCAGAGGCAGGAGGUCAACUCUGAGCAGUAGCACCUUGGACUUUAAGAAGGAGCUUCCCGGGUUCUUCUGCCCCCACCCGUACUUCCUAACCUGGUGACUUUGGGCCAGUUGAUUAACAUUAUCCUCAUCUAUAAGAGGAUAUUUACAUCUGUAAGAUGAGGACACUAAUAAUACCUGCCUUUUCAGGCUGUUGUAAGGAUUAAACCAGAUAAUCUAUAUUAAAAGCUCAGAGGGGUUCCUGACACGCAGUUAACACUCAAUAAACAA